UCCAGGGUAGCCUAGUGGACAUGGCACCUGCCUGGUAAGCAGGAGGUUGUGGGUAAGCAGGAGGUUGUGGGUUCGAUUCCCGCCCCUGGAC